rnacentral:rRNA from 1 species
UACGGAGGGGGCUAGCGUUGUUCGGAAUUACUGGGCGUAAAGCGCACGUAAGCGGCUUUGUAAGUUAGAGGUGAAAGCCCAGGGCUUAACCCUGGAAUUGCCUUUAAGACUGCAUCGCUAGAAUCGUGGAGAGGUAAGUGGAAUUCCGAGUGUAGAGGUGAAAUUCGUAGAUAUUCGGAAGAACACCAGUGGCGAAGGCGACUUACUGGACACGUAUUGACGCUGAGGUGCGAAAGCGUGGGGAGCAAACAGG